rnacentral:rRNA from 1 species
UACGGGGGGAGCAAGCGUUGUUCGGAUUUACUGGGCGUAAAGGGCGCGUAGGCGGCGCAACAAGUCACUUGUGAAAUCUCCGGGCUUAACUCGGAACGGCCAAGUGAAACUGUCAAGCUAGAGUGCAGAAGGGGCAAUCGGAAUUCUUGGUGUAGCGGCGAAAUGCGUAGAUAUCAAGAGGAACACCUGAGGUGAAGACGGGUUGCUGGGCUGACACUGACGCUGAGGCGCGAAAGCCAGGGGAGCAAACGGG